rnacentral:tRNA from 1 species
GGAGGGUUGCCUGAGUGGUCGAAAGGGCUGCACUCGAAACGCAGUGUACGGUCUCCGUACCGAGGGUUCGAAUCCCUCACCCUCCGCCA